GGUUCAGCUAUGGCCCAGCUAAAGCCAGCACCAUGUGCCCCAUCCCUUCCACAGUUCAACCCCCCUCCUCCUCCACUGAAGAUUCAUCAAGUUCAACAUGUUACUCAGGUGGCUCCUCCCACACCCCCACCAGCUCCUCCCAUCCCUGCAGUCCUGCCUCCUCAAGCGCCCCCUAAGCCCAUCGUGACCAUCCCUGCACCAGCCAGCACCAAGACUGUGCCCCCAGUUAUGACACAAGCUGCACCACCUACCCCUGCUCCUCCAAUUCCUCCAGCAAAAAAGCAGGCAGUGUUCCCUAUUUCUCACGUUCUGCCCUCUGUGUCUGCUCCCAUCCCAGCUCCAACUCCAGCUCCAGUCCCCCC
rnacentral:lncRNA from 1 species